AGUUUGACAUAAUCUCAUAGUUUUGGGAAAUAGAGAUUGUCUUAUUCCUGUGCUUGAUGUGUGUGCAGAGAUUUCUCAUGUAUAGGGAGAUCUUUCUCUCUCAGCUAUGCUCUUUUUUCUCAAUGUUUUAUUUAUACAAUCCCUUUGCCGGUAUUUUACAUGUGGACAAAGCAAGACAUAACCUUCAUGAAUAUAGUGCCUUCUUAAAUCUGCACACUUUGCUUUUCUCACUCACUCAUUCAAAACUUAGUGCCACCUCCAUAUGUCUGGAGUUGAAUGAUCCACUGGCUGGGAUAGUCUCAGGUUGAUGAAGCAACCACUGUAGAGGACACCAAGACUGAAGACACUGAAAUGGAGAUUGAAACAGAUGUGGGCAAACUGAUGAAGUCGUCUGGAGAGAAGCGGAACAGGGUGAGGAAUUCAAAAGGUCCUUCAAGUUUUAAGGCCACAGCAAAAGCUUCAGCUAGGAUGAAGUUGUACUACCUGUCCAGGCCCCUUUGCAUAAGGUUUGUACAAAUGCGCACACAUAGGGGUGGACCCAUGCAGGAAGCUUUUUCCAAAUUUUCCUGGCUAUAUGUGUUUGGAAUGCUUAUCAAUAAUUGUGCCUUGUAAUGUAGGCAGUCUUUCUAUUGGCCAUGUGUAUUUUUGUCUUAUCAUUCAUACGGACAUAAUUAAAUUUUA